UUGCAGCCAUAUCACGUUAAAACACCGGUUCUUGUUCGAUCACCGAAGUUAAGCAACGGUGAGCCUGGUCAAUACCUAGAUGGGUGACUGUUUGGGAAUAUCAGGUACUGUAAG
rnacentral:rRNA from 1 species